rnacentral:rRNA from 1 species
UUCCGGUUGAUCCUGCCGGACCCGACUGCUAUUUGGGUGAGGAUAAGCCAUGCGAGUUGUAUGGGAUCCCUAAAGUUCCCAUAGCAAACUGCUCAGUAACACAUGAUCAACUUGCCCUAUGGAGAGCACUAACCUCGGGAAACUGAGGAUAAUGGCUCAUACUUGAUUAGGCUUGGAAAAGUUUUUCAAUGAAAGGCGUAAGAAAAAUGGUUCUUAUGCGCCAUAGGAUAGGAUCGUGCUCGAUUAUGGUAGUUGGUGAGGUAACGGCUCACCAAGCCGAUAAUCGAUAGGGGCCGUGAGAGCGGUUGCCCCGAGAUGGGUACUGAGACAGCGACCCAGGCCUUACGAGGCGCAGCAGGCGCGAGACCUCCGCAAUACACGCAAGUGUGACGGGGUUACCCAAAGUGUCCUUAUUGGACUGUGGCGGGUGAGUAAUGUUCCCCGCUAGAAAGGAGAGGGCAAGGCUGGUGCCAGCCGCCGCGGUAAAACCAGCUCUUCAAGUGGUCGGGAUAAUUAUUGGGCUUAAAGUGUCCGUAGCCGGUUUAGUAAGUUCCUGGUAAAACCGGGCAGCUUAACUGUCCGUAUGCUAGGAAUACUGCUAUGCUAGAGGGCGGGAGAGGUCUGAGGUACUACAGGGGUAGGGGUGAAAUCUUAUAAUCCUUGUAGGACCACCAGUGGCGAAAGCGUCAGACUGGAACGCGCCUGACGGUGAGGGACGAAAGCCAGGGGAGCGAACCGGAUUAGAUACCCGGGUAGUCCUGGCCGUAAACGAUGCAUACUAGGCAAUGGUGCGGCUAUGAGCCGCAUCAGUACCGUAGGGAAACCGUUAAGUGUGCCGCCUGGGAAGUACGGUCGCAAGGCUAAAACUUAAAGGAAUUGGCGGGGGAGCACCACAAGGGGUGAAGCCUGCGGUUCAAUUGGAUUCAACGCCGGAA